UACGUAGGGUGCGAGCGUUAAUCGGACUUACUGGGCGUAAAGCGUGCGCAGGCGGUUUUGUAAGCCAGAUGUGAAAUCCCCGGGCUUAACCUGGGAAUGGCAUUGGUGACUGCACGGCUAGAGUGUGUCAGAGGGGGGUAGAAUUCCACGUGUAGCAGUGAAAUGCGUAGAGAUGUGGAGGAAUACCGAUGGCGAAGGCAGCCCCCUGGGAUAACACUGACGCUCAUGCACGAAAGCGUGGGGAGCAAACAGG
rnacentral:rRNA from 1 species